GCAUAUCAAUAAGCGGAGGAAAAGAAACCCAACAGGGAUUGCCCUAGUAACGGCGAGUGAAGCGGCAACAGCUCAAAUUUGAAAUCUGGCCCCCGGGUCCGAGUUGUAAUUUGUAGAGGAUGCUUUUGGUGCGGUACCUUCCGAGUUCUCUGGAACGAGACGCCAUAGAGGGUGAGAGCCCCGUCUGGUUGGACGCCAAACCUUUGUAAAGCUCCUUCGACGAGUCGAGUAGUUUGGGAAUGCUGCUCUAAAUGGGAGGUAUAUGUCUUCUAAAGCUAAAUAUUGGCCAGAGACCGAUAGCGCACAAGUAGAGUGAUCGAAAGAUGAAAAGCACUUUGAAAAGAGAGUUAAAAAGUACGUGAAAUUGUUGAAAGGGAAGCGCUCAUGACCAGACUUGGGCCCGGUUGAUCAUCCAGGGUUCUCCCUGGUGCACUCUUCCGGCCCAGGCCAGCAUCAGUUCGCUGUGGGGGAUAAAGGCUUCGGGAAUGUGGCUCCCUCGGGAGUGUUAUAGCCCGUCGUGCAAUACCCUGCGGCGGACUGAGGUUCGCGCAUUCGCAAGGAUGCUGGCGUAAUGGUCAUCAGCGACCCGUCUUGAAACACGGACCAAGGAGUCGUCUUCGUAUGCGAGUGUUCGGGUGUCAAACCCCUACGCGUAAUGAAAGUGAACGCAGGUGAGAGCUUCGGCGCAUCAUCGACCGAUCCUGAUGUUCUCGGAUGGAUUUGAGUAAGAGCAUACGGGGCCGGACCCGAAAGAAGGUGAACUAUGCCUGUAUAGGGUGAAGCCAGAGGAAACUCUGGUGGAGGCUCGCAGCGGUUCUGACGUGCAAAUCGAUCGUCAAAUAUGGGCAUGGGGGCGAAAGACUAAUCGAACCUUCUAGUAGCUGGUUUCCGCCGAAGUU
rnacentral:rRNA from 1 species